rnacentral:rRNA from 1 species
AUUGAACGCUGGCGGCAUGCCUUACACAUGCAAGUCGAACGGUAACAGGUCUUCGGAUGCUGACGAGUGGCGAACGGGUGAGUAAUACAUCGGAACGUGCCUAGUAGUGGGGGAUAACUACUCGAAAGAGUGGCUAAUACCGCAUGAGAUCUACGGAUGAAAGCAGGGGAUCGCAAGACCUUGUGCUACUAGAGCGGCCGAUGCAGAUUAGGUAGUUGGUGGGAUAAAAGCUUACCAAGCCGACGAUCUGUAGCUGGUCUGAGAGGGCGAUAAGCCACACUGGGACUGAGACACGGCCCAGACUCCUACGGGAGGCAGCAGUGGGGAAGUUUGGACAAUGGGCGAAAGCCUGAUCCAGCAAUGCCGCGUGCAGGAUGAAGGCCUUCGGGUUGUAAACUGCUUUUGUACGGAACGAAAAGCCCCGGGUUAAUACCCUGGGGUCAUGACGGUACCGUAAGAAUAAGCACUGGCUAACUACGUGCCAGCCGUCGCGGUAA